AUCUUGGAAUGGUAUACAACAUGAUCAUAAGUCAUGGGUCUGAAUUAGAACAUAUCUGAGGUUAUUAUUACGUACCUGUGCCUAGCAUCAGGUAAAGUUUGUGUCAUUGAGUGUAAAAAGCAACAGCCUUUUUUGCUACAGCAGGUCCCAGUCACAGCCAGAGUCGAAAGACUGGUGUCUCUCAUAUCAGGGCUCCUGAAACCAGUGCGGAAAUGACCAGUGACUUUCCUUCCGUUACUGCAGGUGUGUUAUUUAUUUUGACUUCACUGGUUCAAAACAGUAUGUUCAUUUAUUAUAAAAUGGCCAUUGUUCAAUGCUAUUCUCUUUUGUUGUAAUAAACUACUGUUUUUAAAUAUUUUGCAUUGUUUUAAAAGAGUCCUUCCUUCAAGAGCUUAAAAGCUCACUGUUUGAGGAAAUACAUGAGGAUGAAACGGUACUUCAAGCCUCAACAGACUGGUCGACCCGAAAGAGCCUCAUAUCAGGGUGGUGGGAGAAAGAGAGACCCCGACUGGUCAACACCAUGGUGGCUGGACAACAUGCGGCAACUCGGAUCUGCCAACAUUGUGGAAAUGGUCCAGCCGUAAUCCGUUGUUGUGACUGCCGACCACACCCAUUCCUCUGUGGCCAGUGUGAUGUCAGGGUCCACCGAGGUCAAGUGUUCCACAACAGGGAUUCGAUGACACAUGCAUUCUUUCAUCCAUUGCCUCCCACAACUUGUGUUGUGGAGAGGGUUCUAACCCAGUGUGGUAAGUUGUAGUUUUUAAAAGUCACAUUCUUAGACUUGACUGAAAAACUGAUAGGUCGAUGAAGCAGUCAAGUACAUCUUGUUUAAAAUAGUUGCCAGUAAAUAAAUGUUAUUUUUUAAUGCUUAUCCAUGUGUUUUUUGUUUUUUUCAAGAGCGUCUUGUACCUUUGGAGAUGCCAGAGACAAUAUGCGGUUGUCUACGAGUAUCGUCCAGUGUCAUCGCAGGACAGUCCAUAGUUGUGGUUACAAUGAAUGGUAAGAAGAACUUUAGAUUGCCUCAGAUUAGAUGCAAAGCAUGUGAAGCCACUUGGAGUCCUGGAGUGGAUGACCUGAUCCGUAAUGACUACUGGCCUGCCACUUCUCACUAUUCAACUGUGUAUGCAACAGAUGUCCUUUUUUUCUUUUUGAAGAGCUGAAGAUGGCAGCACCAGGGAUGUCUAGCCAAGCAUUUCUUAGAAUGCUGGAUCAACGCACUGUUCGAUUUGGCCGUGUAAGUAUUUGUGGUAAUAAUUGCGUAACUCCAUAAAUAAUACUAUGAGGGCAUGAUGAUGAUGAUAGUACACAUGAACAUUUGCACUGUUUAGGAAAAAAGUUGUGUUCAAUUUAGACCCUUUAUAAACAACCAUAAACUCAUGUUCUCUCAUCAGCAGUUUGCACUGAGACAUUUCCAACAGGUAAUUCUGAAGAUCUCAACUUCUACUCCAUUGGCUACAGACUUUGACAUCUUCUCCCCAAUAUCAUUUCCUGAUCCCAGAAGUGUUCCCUUGGAUUAAUGGCCCAAACACUGCACAGGCUUACUUCUAAACAAUAUUGUAGCUGUUGUAGCCCUCUUUGUGUAAAGAUUUAAACUGAAUGUCAAACAAUAUCCUGUAUUUUUAAUGGCCAGGUCCCCCAAAUACACCAGUGUAUAGUGUAUGAGUGAAGUCUACACAUUGUUUAUUUCCUUUGAUAUGUAUUCUAAGGAGUGGUUACGAAGUUAGUACAAACAUCCCAUAUGUAUCCAUUUAGAACAUUUUACUUCAGUGUAGUAUAUUGUUUAAUUUGAUCCGUUUUACUGUUCUCUUUUGUUCUCUUUUACUGAACUCUUCUUUGAAACAGAGUGGAAACAUCACAGCAGACAGCUUCCGGAAAAAGCUUCUUGGAGUGGGAAGCUGUCCGAUUCGAAGUGGACAAAUUAUGCCAGGAGGACCACUUUGACUGCCCAGCGUGCAGCCCAGACAUGCUUGCAGUAUCCGUUGAUGGAAACCGUAAGCACUACAGAUUCAAGAGUGCAGCAAGGUACUGUGUGUGCAUUGACGGUCCAUUACUUUGAAAGUAACUGCUGUGAAUUGAAAAUCAUAUGAAUAUUUAAAGUUAAUAUGUAUCUCUUUUAUUUAGAUCGGAGGAAAAAGCCAUCUUUGAUGGCGUGUUCAUCGCAAAUGAUGAUGAUGUCGCAAGAUUCGUGGACUAUGUCCAUACCUCAACCAGUCAUGUAAACUUGCACAACUUCUCUAUAUUUACCUAUAAAACACCACGUCCUACAGAGGACUUAGUUUGAACAAGUUUGGAAUGUUAAACAUCUUCCAUGUUUUAGGUCUCUGGAAGAGGUGUCUGUGGAGGGCAAUGGUCAGCGGCGCGUGAAACUUCUCAGAAGUCCUCAGGAAAAACAGACGAGGAGGGCCUGGAACUCGCUGUAUGUCGUCAUGGGGUUCUCCUUCGUGCCCUCAAUAUGUUCAGGGGGAGAUUUUUUUGCCUACCCCCUGUACCUCCAAAAGCAAAUGGCCUGUAAGCCAGUUAAAUUUUUUGCAAUGGAUGUGGCAUGCAAGUACUGGCCUUACCUCCAGAGAGUGACAGAGAAAUGCCCUGAGCUUGAGGAUCUCCUCACCAUGAGGCCAUUUCUUUCUGUUUUUCAUGCCAAAGCUCAUGAUUUCAAAUGUGAGGUAAGAAAAAAUGAUUGUCCAUGAUAUUUUCUUUCCCUAAAAUCCUGCAUAAGAUUGUUGCCACUUAGGUUUUGUUUUUUUGUUUUCUUUUUUAAAGGUAAAAUGGAGUGGAGCAUAUCAGGAGGGGGCUGGUUCGACUCUUGGGGAAGAGGUGGAGCAGUGCAACGCCUUCCUCUCGAGGAUUGCUGUUACGACAAAGCACAUGUCAAAAGCAGGUAAGGUAACCAGUAAAUUUUGAUCCUGAUGACAUGGGUGAGCCACUUAUGCAUACAUGCUGACUCUGAAAAUAUAAAGAUCAGAAUAUAUUAAACACAAAUGGAUGGAUCGAUUACAAUAACAUCAUCCUAUUUUAUUUGACGUGAGGAUAAUAAGGAAGGGCAGUGCGAUAUAAAAAAAACACAUCCAAGUACCAUUCACCUACUGUCCUGCCAUAGUGCUCCAUACCAUUUAAAUACUGUCCUGCGCCACUGUGUCAUGCUAUUUCUUCACUAUCCUGUGCGAUUUACCUAACCCUUUCAUGGGACAGUAAUCAAAUGGCACAAGACAGCAGAUUAGUACCAUAGUACUGUACUGUAAGUUAUUAUCUCUGAAAAGUUUGUGAUUCAAGUCUGCACAGUUUCUUCUCCUACUGCUACUGGAAAGAAGGGUGAUAAUCUCAUAUUUUUUAUUUUUGCAGGACGCAUAGACAUGCUGACGAUCAUGGCCAUGCGCUGGAACCAACAAAAGUUUGACAACUUGGCUUCUACCCUUGCCCGCCGAUAUCGGAAGGUAAAGACACCAGUUUUCCCUUAUGCAAAAUGCAUAGCGAUAUUGUAAAAUAAAGCAAAUAAAUGGCAUAUAUCACAAAAAUAUAGAGAACACUUGCCCAGAUAUUCUUUAAUAUAUAUUAAAUAUACGGAUGGUUGCAUGUGUAGUGUCAAUUGUAUUUUUUAGUGUCUUGAUAUAAAAUAUUACAUGUUCAUACCACAUAUAUUGAUAGUCCACGUAUAUACGAAUAUACUGUAUAUUUAAUUAGUGUUGUAUGUGGUUUUCUAAUAGUGAAGGUACUUCACAAUCCUUAUCAACAAUAGUCAAAGUGGUAGGCGUUUUCCUCAUUGUCAUUUAUGUUUGAAGGCCACAAUAGCCCUGCAAUGCCAGUUGCAUAACCUGGAGGCCAUGAAAACGGAAAUGGACGUCUCAGACAAUCAACUGGAGAGGUGGAUCAUUGAUAUCAAUGAGUGGGCAGAAGGUAGGAUAUACUGUUUUUAUACUGUUUGAUAUGGUGCUUGAUGUAUCACUUCUGACUUAUUUUGGCUGCAAUUCCAAAGAGGCUCAUUGUAAUCGUAGUCAAAGAGCACAUACUCUGAUUGCUGAUGACGUGUGGACAAGAUUAUCCCUAUGGGGACAAUAAAGAACCUAACUAUACUCAACCUUAGCUACAAGUGUAGCCUCUCAGUUACAGAUAAAUAUGAAAAAGAUUGUUGAGGCUUUAUUUUUGCUCAUACACCAGAAAUAAUAUUUUUUCAUGGAAUCAAGAAGCAUAUUUCUUAUCUCUUAAUUUCUUCCUCUCAGCAACAACAUCCCCAAAUGAUGCUGAUGUUGCCGCUGUUGCCAGCCGAAUUGAGGAGCUGGUGGCAAGUGUUAAGAGGAGGUCCCAGCGUCUUUACAAGGAUAGUGACGGAUGCAAAGGGACGUGCCCGAAUCCGCCGAAAGAUCAGGGAGGAAAAAUCUUAAAUUCUGUAGUGGAAAAAGUACAACACCUUGGUUCCUAAUGCAGAAAAACUGUCAUUGGACACCAUUCUAUCUGAUGAGAUUGUUUGGCCAUGGCAGCUUACACACGGUGGUAUGUACACAAUUCCAUUGUCACAUAGUGGGACAAAAUCUGUCAUGCCUCGAUUUUACACCUGAAAAUCUCUAAAUACUAAUCUCAAAUACAACCGACUUAUGUUUCAUCUAUGUAUUCCAGACUCUGUUGAUCUAAGGACAAAGAGGAAGGCGUUCGACAUUGUGAUGGCAGUAAGGAGACUUGAGGAGGAGAAGAGGAUUCUUAUUGCAGAGAUGAACAAGCAUUGGAAGUCUCUUUGCUCCCGUGCAGACACCCUGAAGCAGAUGUCAUCCAAGCUUUCUAAUGUGACAUCAGGUAUGUAUUUGUUAUACUUGGCAUACAUUACAAUAUUUCUGAAUGUUUUUAAUUAAUAAAGGCUCAAUAUGUUUUAACAUGUAAGGUGAGACUUGGGGCCUGCUUCAAGAUGGUAUCCGAGGUCUACAAAGCUUGACGAUGAAGAACAAGCGAGCAAGCAACAGCCUGGCAAAGCAUGCAAAGAAAUAUUAUGUUCAAGUUCUGACUGAAACAGAAAUUAACUUUGAUAGUGAUUCUGAGGAAUACCAUACCAGUAGUGACUCUGAGCAAGAUUAAACAUGGCCAGAGUCCUUUUUUUAUGCUGUUGUGUGCUGGGGAGGCAGCAUUAAAGAAGAGGGCCGCUGGGACAGGUUGUUAAGGAAAGCUGGCUCUGUGUUUGGCAUGGAGCUGGAGUUAAUUAUUUAACAAACUGAGGAUAAUUUGCAGUAGCAGUCUUCUGUCAUGCUCAACAUUGAGGAGGUCCUUUGUCCCCAGGGCAUACCAGCAACUCAAUGUCACAGAAAAGGUUAGGGGAGAAAUUGACUUUUCAGCAUGAGUCUCACCCUGCGCCAACCAUUACAUCGCUUUGUCUAUUGUCUAGUAUCCACUAUCCAUUUGACUGUCUUACAGGCUACAUUAGCCCCUCUACACAUUCUGAACUGUGGUUUCAACAUUUACCCCUGUUGGCUUGUAUAAUCUUUUUUUCUUUUUUUAUAUAUAUUUAAGUUUCUGUUUUUUUCUAUCUAUUUUAACUUCUUUGUAUUGUUUUUUUGUUAAGCAAUACUAUUAUGCUCAGACUCUUUUUUUCCAUAGUCAUAUUAAACAUGCACAGCUUUGCACUGAUUAAAUCCCUGCACUGUUUACUUUUUGCACUACCACCACUGCAAAUCACUCUAUAGUUGCCCAUCAUGUAUCACAGGGUCAGUCCCUACCAGGCCUUUGUAAUCACUUGACAUGCUCUUCACUUUUUUUACAUUUGUGAUUUUUUUGUUAUGUGUCUGAGUUGUGUGUUUUUUUGUGGUUGUAUAAG
ensembl:lncRNA